rnacentral:rRNA from 1 species
AAUACCUGAUGAGACCACGGUGUCGUAUGGCACAGAGGUCAAAGGAUGGGGACUCCUUCGGGAGCCUGUUGGCUUGGGAGCGGCCCAUGCCCUAUCAGCUAGUUGGUGAGGUAACGGCCCACCAAGGCUAUGACGGGUACCGGGGCUGAGAGGUCGGCCCGGCGCACUGGGACUGAGACACUGCCCAGACUCCUACGGGAGGCUGCAGUAACGAAUCUUCCGCAAUGGGCGAAAGCCUGACGGAGCGACGCCGCGUGUGGGAUGAAGGCCUUCGGGUCGUAAACCACUGUCAGGGGUUACCAAGCGAUGGGAAGGAAUAUCUCCCAGAGUUGAGGAGCCCCAGAGGAAGCCACGGCUAACUUCGUGCCAGCAGCCGCGGUAAGACGAAGGUGGCGAGCGUUGUUCGGAAUCACUGGGCUUAAAGCGCAUGUAGGCGGCCUGUUAAGCACCUUGUGAAAUCCCUCGGCUCAACCGAGGAACGGCUUGGUGUACUGGCAGGCUUGAGGCAGGUAGGGGCGCGUGGAACUCUUGGUGGAGCGGUGGAAUGCGUAGAUAUCAAGAGGAACGCCGGAGGUGAAAACGGCGCGCUGGGCCUGAUCUGACGCUGAGAUGCGAAAGCCAGGGGAGCAAACGGGAUUAGAUACCCCGGUAGUCCUGGCCCUAAACGAUGUCCACUCGGCCGGAGGCCUUCUGACAGGUUUUCGGUUUAAGCAAAAGCGUUAAGUGGACCGCCUGGGGAGUACGGUCGCAAGGCUAAAACUCAAAGGAAUUGACGGGGGCUCACACAAGCGGUGGAGCAUGUUGCUCAAUUCGAUACUACGCGAAGAACCUUAUCCUGGGCUUGACAUGUUCGGAUGCCUACCGGGAAACCGGAUCGGCUGCCCUUCGGGGUGAAACGGACACAGGUGCUGCAUGGCUGUCGUCAGCUCGUGUCGUGAGAUGUUGGGUUAGGUCCCGUAACGAGCGAAACCCUUGUCGCUAGUUGCCAGCAGGCCUUCGGGUGCUGGGCACUCUAGCGAGACUGCCGGUGUUAAACCGGAGGAAGGUGGGGAUGACGUCAAGUCCUCAUGGCCUUUAUGCCCAGGGCUGCAAACGUGCUACAAUGGCCGACACAAACCGAAGCAAACUCGCGAGAGGGAGCAAAUCGGAGAAAAUCGGCCUCAGUUCAGAUUGGAGUCCGCAACCCGACUCCAUGAAGUCGGAAUCGCUAGUAAUCGCGCAUCAGCUCGGCGCGAUGAAUGUGUUCCUGAGCCUUGUACACACCGCCCGUCAAGUCAUGGGAGCCGGGAGCACGCAGAGCCGGUCCAAUUCAGGACUGCUGAGCGAGAGACCGGUGACUGGGACCAAGUCGAAACAAGGUA